CACAGGUCUGGUCCUGGCCUUACUAUCAAUUUUGACCUAAUUUAUACAUGCGAGUAUCCGCGCCCCCGUGAGAAUGCCCUACGACCCCCCCCCCCGAGGUCAAGGAGCCGGCAUCAGGCACAACUACCCCAGCCCACGACGCCUUGCUAAAAGCCACACCCCCAAGGGGCCCCAGCAGUAGUAAACAUUAAGCAAUAAGUGAAAACUUGACUUAGUUAUGGUCAAACCCAGGGCCGGUAAAGAAUUGUGCCAGCCACCGCGGUUAAACGAGAGGCCCGAGUUGAUAGCUACCGGCGUAAAGGGUGGUUAUGAUUUUCUGACUAUAAAGUAAAAUACCCUCACAGCCGUAAUAAGCACUCGAGGAUAAGAAACCCAAUCACGAAAGUAACUUUAAAACAUCUGACCCCACGAAGACUAGGGCACAAACUGGGAUUAGAUACCCCACUAUGCCUAGCCGUAAACCACGAUAAUGAAUUACAAACAUUAUCCGCCCGGGGACUACGAGCGUAAGCUUGAAACCCAAAGGACUUGGCGGUGCUUUAGACCCCUAGAGGAGCCUGUUCUAGAACCGAUGAUCCCCGUUCAACCUCACCUUUUCUUGCUCUUCCCGCCUGUAUACCUCCGUCGUCAGCUAACCCUGUGAAGGCCUAACAGUACGCAAGAUCGGCUUUUCCCCAAAACGUCAGGUCAAGGUGCAGCGAAUGAAAAGGGUGCAAUGGGCUACAUUCCCUAACAAAGUGUAUACGGACGGCAGAUUGAAAUAUUUGCCCGAAGGAGGAUUUAGUAGUAAGCACAAAGUAGAGCGUUGUGCUGAAUGUACUUAAUAAAGCGCGCACACACCGCCCGUCACCCUCCCCCACCCAACAAACUCAGUAAUUAAGCUACUAUUUAAUGGACCAAGGGGAGGUAAGUCGUAACAUGGUAAGUGUACCGGAAGGUGCACUUGGAAAAUA
rnacentral:ncRNA from 1 species